UCUAUUCGGCAGGUUAGCAUAAAAGCAACAGUACUUCACAGAACACUAGUGUUCACGCGUAUCGCACCAAAGUUACUAUGACGUCGACCAAGAAGCUGCUACUCGUUGCCCUUACAGUUGUGUUCAUGUCGUCAAUAAAUGGUACAUGGGCCGAUGCGAAAUGUGGACAAGCCUGUUACUACGACAAUAACAACAACCCGCAUGGCUGCCCCAGUGGCUGUACCUGUUCAGCAACCACUUGGGGUACUCCAGGAACUGCAGGCAUGACAGGGAAGUGCUUUCCAACCUUGGGAUAAAUUUGUUCUGGUUUAAAUAAAAAACAAACUCUGCUCA